GAUGAACGCUGGCGGCGUGCCUAAUACAUGCAAGUCGAGCGAAUGGAUUAAGAGCUUGCUCUUAUGAAGUUAGCGGCGGACGGGUGAGUAACACGUGGGUAACCUGCCCAUAAGACUGGGAUAACUCCGGGAAACCGGGGCUAAUACCGGAUAACAUUUUGAACCGCAUGGUUCGAAAUUGAAAGGCGGCUUCGGCUGUCACUUAUGGAUGGACCCGCGUCGCAUUAGCUGGUUGGUGAGGUAACGGCUCACCAAGGCAACGAUGCGUAGCCGACCUGGGAGGGUGAUCGGCCACACUGGGAGUGAGGCACGGCCCGGACUCCUACGGGAGGCAGCAGUAGGGAAUCUUCCGCAAUGGACGAAAGUCUGACGGAGCAACGCCGCGUGAGUGAUGAAGGCUUUCGGGUCGUAAAACUCUGUUGUUAGGGAAGAACAAGUGCUAGUUGAAUAAGCUGGCACCUUGACGGUACCUAACCAGAAAGCCACGGCUAACUACGUGCCAGCCGCCGCGGUAA
rnacentral:rRNA from 1 species